UAGCGUCGCAUUCAGCGGUUUCUGGUGACGUCACGGGGGGGACGACUCCGGUGGUCUGAAGGGUGGCAGGGGUUAGGUUCUGUCAGAGUCCCGGAGUUGUUUACCUUUGUACCUCUGGAGCAGCAGCCAACCAAAGCUGAGAACAGGAAGCUUUGAGUACAAUUAGAAAAGAAAGAAAGAAACAACGACAACCCUAUAAUAUCAUGGGGAAAUGAGGAAGAACAACCUUUACUGUACCUGACGAGGGGUUCUUUCGGAUUUACUCCUACACCACUCCCAGUCUGAAAGAUCUGGUUUCUG